UACGUAGGGGGCGAGCGUUGUCCGGAGUUACUGGGCGUAAAGGGCAUGCAGGCGGUCAGGCGCGUUUUGUGUGACAGCGGAUGGCUUAACUGUCCGAGGAUACGAGAUACGGCGUGACUUGAGAGCGCGAGAGGGACACGGAAUUCCGGGUGGAGUGGUGAAAUGCGUAGAGAUCCGGAGGAACACCGAAGGCGAAGGCAGUGUCCUGGCGCGUAUCUGACGCUGAGGUGCGGAAAGCCAGGGGAGCGAACGGG
rnacentral:rRNA from 1 species